AGACCCGAAACCCGGUGAUCUAGCCAUGGGCAGGUUGAAGGUUGGGUAACACUAACUGGAGGACCGAACCGACUAAUGUUGAAAAAUUAGCGGAUGACCUGUGGCUGGGGGUGAAAGGCCAAUCAAACCGGGAGAUAGCUGGUUCUCCCCGAAAGCUAUUUAGGUAGCGCCUCGUGAAUUCAUCUCCGGGGGUAGAGCACUGUUUCGGCUAGGGGGCCAUCCCGGCUUACCAACCCGAUGCAAACUGCGAAUACCGGAGAAUGUUAUCACGGGAGACACACGGCGGGUGCUAACGUCCGUCGUGAAGAGGGAAACAACCCAGACCGCCAGCUAAGGUCCCAAAGUCAUGGUUAAGUGGGAAACGAUGUGGGAAGGCCCAGACAGCCAGGAUGUUGGCUUAGAAGCAGCCAUCAUUUAAAGAAAGCGUAAUAGCUCACUGGUCGAGUCGGCCUGCGCGGAAGAUGUAACGGGGCUAAACCAUGCACCGAAGCUGCGGCAGCGACGCUUAUGCGUUGUUGGGUAGGGGAGCGUUCUGUAAGCCUGUGAAGGUGUGUCGUGAGGCAUGCUGGAGGUAUCAGAAGUGCGAAUGCUGACAUAAGUAACGAUAAAGCGGGUGAAAAGCCCGCUCGCCGGAAGACCAAGGGUUCCUGUCCAACGUUAAUCGGGGCAGGGUGAGUCGACCCCUAAGGCGAGGCCGAAAGGCGUAGUCGAUGGGAAACGGGUUAAUAUUCCCGUACUUGGUGUUACUGCGAAGGGGGGACGGAGAAGGCUAUGUUGGCCGGGCGACGGUUGUCCCGGUUUAAGCGUGUAGGUGUGUGUUCCAGGUAAAUCCGGUUCACUUUAACACUGAGGCGUGAUGACGAGGCACUACGGUGCUGAAGUAACAAAUGCCCUGCUUCCAGGAAAAGCCUCUAAGCAUCAGGUAACAUCAAAUCGUACCCCAAACCGACACAGGUGGUCAGGUAGAGAAUACCAAGGCGCUUGAGAGAACUCGGGUGAAGGAACUAGGCAAAAUGGUGCCGUAACUUCGGGAGAAGGCACGCUGACACGUAGGUGAAGUGAUUUACUCACGGAGCUGAAGUCAGUCGAAGAUACCAGCUGGCUGCAACUGUUUAUUAAAAACACAGCACUGUGCAAACACGAAAGUGGACGUAUACGGUGUGACGCCUGCCCGGUGCCGGAAGGUUAAUUGAUGGGGUCAGCGCAAGCGAAGCUCCUGAUCGAAGCCCCGGUAAACGGCGGCCGUAACUAUAACGGUCCUAAGGUAGCGAAAUUCCUUGUCGGGUAAGUUCCGACCUGCACGAAUGGCGUAAUGAUGGCCAGGCUGUCUCCACCCGAGACUCAGUGAAAUUGAACUCGCUGUGAAGAUGCAGUGUACCCGCGGCAAGACGGAAAGACCCCGUGAACCUUUACUAUAGCUUGACACUGAACAUUGAGCCUUGAUGUGUAGGAUAGGUGGGAGGCUUUGAAGUGUGGACGCCAGUCUGCAUGGAGCCGACCUUGAAAUACCACCCUUUAAUGUUUGAUGUUCUAACGUGGACCCGUUACCCGGGUUGCGGACAGUGUCUGGUGGGUAGUUUGACUGGGGCGGUCUCCUCCUAAAGAGUAACGGAGGAGCACGAAGGUUGGCUAAUCCUGGUCGGACAUCAGGAGGUUAGUGCAAUGGCAUAAGCCAGCUUGACUGCGAGCGUGACGGCGCGAGCAGGUGCGAAAGCAGGUCAUAGUGAUCCGGUGGUUCUGAAUGGAAGGGCCAUCGCUCAACGGAUAAAAGGUACUCCGGGGAUAACAGGCUGAUACCGCCCAAGAGUUCAUAUCGACGGCGGUGUUUGGCACCUCGAUGUCGGCUCAUCACAUCCUGGGGCUGAAGUAGGUCCCAAGGGUAUGGCUGUUCGCCAUUUAAAGUGGUACGCGAGCUGGGUUUAGAACGUCGUGAGACAGUUCGGUCCCUAUCUGCCGUGGGCGCUGGAGAACUGAGGGGGGCUGCUCCUAGUACGAGAGGACCGGAGUGGACGCAUCACUGGUGUUCGGGUUGUCAUGCCAAUGGCACUGCCCGGUAGCUAAAUGCGGAAGAGAUAAGUGCUGAAAGCAUCUAAGCACGAAACUUGCCCCGAGAUGAGUUCUCCCUGAGACUUUAGGUCUCCUGAAGGAACGUUGAAGACGACGACGUUGAUAGGCCGGGUGUGUAAGCGCAGCGAUGCGUUGAGCUAACCGGUACUAAUGAACCGUGAGGCUUAACCUU
rnacentral:rRNA from 2 species